CUUUGUUUUUGCAGGAUCGUUUAUUUAUUUGGAGGCACAGCGCCCCCCCGGGGUGGCCAAGCUUGGAAGUCCUGUUCUUACAAAAUUGCUCACUCCCACUACCCCAUGUCAGGUGCAGUUUUGGUAUCAUUUGUCUCAACAUUCAAAUCUCUCAGUUUUUACAAGAACGUCUCUAGAUGGAAACUUGCAAAAGCAAGGCAAAAUAAUCAGAUUCUCCGAAUCUCAGUGGAGCCACGCAAAAAUUGAUCUCAUUGCAGAAGCGGGAGAAUCUACUCUACCUUUUCAGUUAAUUUUGGAAGCUACUGUUUUGUCAUCAAAUGCUACCGUUGCUCUAGAUGACAUCAGUGUGUCCCAGGAAUGUGAAAUUUCCUAUAAAUCACUACCAAGGACCAGUACACAAAGCAAGUGAGCUGAAUGGACUAAUCAAGAAAAAUUUGGGUCACAUGAUUCUGGAUUGAGACGAUUAAAGAACUUUUAAUUAAAGGUCCUUUAUUAAAGAUAUUUUUCAUUCGA